rnacentral:lncRNA from 1 species
CCUGGGUUUUAAGCAGUUCACAGUUUCCUGAAGAAGAUAGGAAGAGGCCAGUCCCCACGUCUCAGAAGGAAAACCCCUCAUUGAUCUUGAGUGGAAGGUCCCGGAAGACUUCAGGAGAAGAAAUAUGCGCUAUGUCUUACUGGACAGUAGGAAUCACCUAGGCAAGGACCGCGGACAAGGGCAUUCCAAUCAGCCUCGAAGAAGGAAGGAGUCUUGUCAGGAGGCUGUUGAAGUACCGAGGCCCAGGUGAGAGGAAACGAGAAUCCGAGGCGGACUUAGGAAAGGCAUGGGUGAUGAGUGGGGAGGCCUGAUUAGGAUUUCCAGAAUUUUCUGAAGCAGAUGCAUAAGAGAGAUGACCUUGCUGUGCCACAUACACUUCUGUGGCUUUGGUUGAGCCCAAGGAAAAGUAGGCGAAGGAGUGAUGAGCAGAACAAUGGAGCAACCAGGUCUCAUGUGCUCAGGUCGUGGGGUGAAUCCAGUUAGAUAAAACCCAGAGUGUGACUUCUCUAGAAGGCUUCCCUGCCUCGCAUUGAAUUGAUUAAUGAUGGAACAUUCUUAAAAUUGACCCCAAAAGUCCUGUGGAAGGCAGAAUAGUGGCCUCCCAAAGUUGUCCGCACACUAGUCCCUAGAAUCUGUGAAUGUGUUAUGACCUUGAAAUAGAGAGAUUAUCCUGGAUUAUCUAGGAGGGACCAGUGUACUCACAAAGAUCCUUAAAAUGAGUUUUACUUGGACAUAAGGAAGAAUGAAAUGUGUUACUUGCUGGUGAGUGGAUGGAACUGAGAACACCAUGCUGAGUGAAC